UGGGGAAUUUUGGACAAUGGGGGAAACCCUGAUCCAGCCAUCCCGCGUGUGCGAUGAAGGCCUUAGGGUUGUAAAGCACUUUUUGCAGGAAAGAAACGUCAUGGGUUAAUACCCCGUGAAACUGACGGUACCUGCAGAAUAAGCACCGGCUAACUACGUGCUAGCAGCCGCGGUAAUACGUAGGGUGCAGCGUUAAUCGGAAUUACUGGGCGUAAAGCGUGCGCAGGCGGUUCGGAAAGAAAGAUGUGAAAUCCCAGAGCUCAACUUUGGAACUGCAUUUUUAACUACCGGGCUAGAGUGUGUCAGAGGGAGGUGGAAUUCCGCGUGUAGCAGUGAAAUGCGUAGAUAUGCGGAGGAACACCGAUGGCGAAGGCAGCCUCCUGGGAUAACACUGACGCUCAUGCACGAAAGCGUGGGGAGCAAACAGG
rnacentral:rRNA from 1 species